UACGAGGGGGGCAAGCGUUGUUCGGAAUUAUUGGGCGUAAAGGGCACGCAGGCGGUCGUGUAAGUUUGGGGUUACAGCUCCCGGCUCAACUGGGAGAGCGCCUCGAAGACUGCAGGACUUGAGGGCCAGAGAGGGACACAGAAUUCCGGGUGUAGUGGUGAGAUGCGUAGAUAUCCGGAGGAAUACCAAAGGCGAAGGCAGUGUCCUGGGUGGUUUCUGACGCUGAGGUGCGAAAGCUAGGGGAGCAAACAGG
rnacentral:rRNA from 1 species